rnacentral:rRNA from 1 species
GACGAACGCUGGCGGCGUGCCUAAUACAUGCAAGUAGAACGCACAGUUUAUACCGUAGCUUGCUACACCAUAGACUGUGAGUUGCGAACGGGUGAGUAACGCGUAGGUAACCUGCCUGGUAGCGGGGGAUAACUAUUGGAAACGAUAGCUAAUACCGCAUAAUAUUAAUUAUUGCAUGAUAAUUGAUUGAAAGGUGCAAAUGCAUCACUACCAGAUGGACCUGCGUUGUAUUAGCUAGUAGGUGAGGUAACGGCUCACCUAGGCGACGAUACAUAGCCGACCUGAGAGGGUGAUCGGCCACACUGGGACUGAGACACGGCCCAGACUCCUACGGGAGGCAGCAGUAGGGAAUCUUCGGCAAUGGACGAAAGUCUGACCGAGCAACGCCGCGUGAGUGAAGAAGGUUUUCGUAUCUUAAAGCUCUGUUGUAAACUACCACCGGC